AACAAGGCGUACCUGCGGACCUGCGGAGGGAUCAUUACCGAGUUUACAACUCCCAAACCCCUGUGAACAUACCACUUGUUGCCUCGGCGGAUCAGCCCGCUCCCGGUAAAACGGGACGGCCCGCCAGAGGACCCCUAAACUCUGUUUCUAUAUGUAACUUCUGAGUAAAACCAUAAAUAAAUCAGAACUUUCAGCAACGGAUCU
rnacentral:misc_RNA from 1 species